UGGUCAAGUUAUUAAGGGUGCAGGGCGGAUGCCUUGGCACUAGGCACUAGGAGCCGAUGAAGGACGUGAUAAGCUGCGAUAAGCUUCGGGGAGUUGCACGUAAACUUUGAUCCGAAGAUUUCCGAAUGAGGAAACUCACUUAGAGUAAUGUCUAAGUAUCAUUAAGUGAAUACAUAGCUUAAUGAGGGGAACUCAGGGAACUGAAA
rnacentral:rRNA from 1 species